rnacentral:rRNA from 1 species
CAGUAGCCGCGGGAAUACGAGGGGGCUAGCGUUGUUCGGAAUUACUGGGCGUAAAGCGCACGUAGGCGGACUUUUAAGUCAGGGGUGAAAUCCCGAGGCUCAACCUCGGAACUGCCUUUGAUACUGGAGAUCUUGAGUUCGGAAGAGGUUGGUGGAACAGCUAGUGUAGAGGUGAAAUUCGUAGAUAUUAGCUAGAACACCAGUGGCGAAGGCGGCCAACUGGUCCGAUACUGACGCUGAGGUGCGAAAGCGUGGGGAGCAAACAGGAUUAGAUACCCCCGUAGUCCCUGUCUCUUAUACA